AUUGAACGCUGGCGGCAUGCCUUACACAUGCAAGUCGAACGGCAGCACGGGUGCUUGCACCUGGUGGCGAGUGGCGAACGGGUGAGUAAUACAUCGGAACAUGUCCUGUAGUGGGGGAUAGCCCGGCGAAAGCCGGAUUAAUACCGCAUACGAUCUACGGAUGAAAGCGGGGGACCUUCGGGCCUCGCGCUAUAGGGUUGGCCGAUGGCUGAUUAGCUAGUUGGUGGGGUAAAGGCCUACCAAGGCGACGAUCAGUAGCUGGUCUGAGAGGACGACCAGCCACACUGGGACUGAGACACGGCCCAGACUCCUACGGGAGGCAGCAGUGGGGAAUUUUGGACAAUGGGCGAAAGCCUGAUCCAGCAAUGCCGCGUGUGUGAAGAAGGCCUUCGGGUUGUAAAGCACUUUUGUCCGGAAAGAAAUCCUUGGCUCUAAUACAGUCGGGGGAUGACGGUACCGGAAGAAUAAGCACCGGCUAACUACGUGCCAGCCGCCGCGGUAA
rnacentral:rRNA from 1 species